rnacentral:rRNA from 1 species
ACGAACGCUGGCGGCGUGCUUAACACAUGCAAGUCGAACGGAAAGGCCCUGCUUUUGUGGGGUGCUCGAGUGGCGAACGGGUGAGUAACACGUGAGUAACCUGCCCUUGACUUUGGGAUAACUUCAGGAAACCGGGGCUAAUACCGGAUAGGAGCUCCUGCUGCAUGGUGGGGGUUGGAAAGUUUCGGCGGUUGGGGAUGGACUCGCGGCUUAUCAGCUUGUUGGUGGGGUAGUGGCUUACCAAGGCUUUGACGGGUAGCCGGCCUGAGAGGGUGACCGGCCACAUUGGGACUGAGAUACGGCCCAGACUCCUACGGGAGGCAGCAGUGGGGAAUAUUGCACAAUGGGCGGGAGCCUGAUGCAGCAACGCCGCGUGCGGGAUGACGGCCUUCGGGUUGUAAACCGCUUUCGCCUGUGACGAAGCGUGAGUGACGGUAAUGGGUAAAGAAGCACCGGCUAACUACGUG